rnacentral:rRNA from 1 species
UACGAAGGGGGCUAGCGUUGCUCGGAAUUACUGGGCGUAAAGGGCGCGUAGGCGGCACUGUUAGUCAGGCGUGAAAGUCCUGGGCUCAACCUGGGAACUGCGCUUGAUACGGCAGAGCUAGAGGAUGGAAGAGGGUCGCGGAAUUCCCGGUGUAGCGGUGAAAUGCGCAGAUAUCGGGAAGAACACCCGUGGCGAAGGCGGCUCUCUGGGACGGUACUGACGCUGAGACGCGAAAGCGUGGGGAGCGAACAGG